CGAAAGCCUGACGGAGCAAUACCGCGUGAGGGAGGAAGGCUCUUGGGUUGUAAACCUCAAAACUUAGGGAAGAAAAAAAUGACGGUACCUAAAAUAAGCAUCGGCUAACUCCGUGCCAGCAGCCGCGGUAAUACGGAGGAUGCAAGCGUUAUCCGGAAUCAUUGGGCGUAAAGCGUCCGCAGGUGGCUCAUCAAGUCUGCUGUUAAAGACAGAAGCUAAACUUCUGGAAAGCAGCGGAAACUGAAGAGCUAGAGUGUAGGAGAGGUAGAGGGAAUUCCCAGUGUAGCGGUGAAAUGCGUAGAGAUUGGGAAGAACACCAGUGGCGAAGGCGCUCUACUGGACUAAAACUGACACUGAGGGACGAAAGCUAGGGUAGCG
rnacentral:rRNA from 1 species